UACAGAGGUCUCAAGCGUUGUUCGGAAUCAUUGGGCGUAAAGCGCGCGUAGGCGGCCCGGUAAGUCCGCUGUAAAAGUCAAAGGCUCAACCUUUGAAUGUCAGUGGAUACUGCCGGGCUAGAGUCCGGAAGAGGCGAGUGGAACUCCUGGUGUAGCGGUGGAAUGCGCAGAUAUCAGGAAGAACACCGACGGCGAAGGCAGCUCGCUGGGACGGUACUGACGCUGAGGCGCGAAAGCGUGGGGAGCGAACAGG
rnacentral:rRNA from 1 species